rnacentral:rRNA from 1 species
CCUACGGGUGGCAGCAGUCGAGAAUCAUUCACAAUGGGGGAAACCCUGAUGGUGCGACGCCGCGUGGGGGAAUGAAGGUCUUCGGAUUGUAAACCUCUGUCAUGUGGGAGCAAAUUAAAAAGAUAGUACCACAAGAGGAAGAGACGGGUAACUCUGUGCCAGUAGCUGCGGUAAUACAGAGGUCGUAAGCGUUGUUCGGAAUCACUGGGCUUAAAGCGUGCGUAGGCUGUUUCGUAAGUCGGGUGUGAAAGGCGCGGGCUCAACCCGCGAACGGCACAUGAUACUGGGAGACUAGAGUAAUGGAGGGGUAGCCGGAAUUCUCGGUGUAGCAGUGAAAUGCGUAGAUAUCGAGAAGAACCCUCAUGGCGAAGGCAGGUUCCUGGACAUUAACUGACACUGAGGCACGAAGGCCAGGGGAGCGAAAGGGAUUAGAUACCCGUGUAGUC